UACCAUUUAGUCAUGCAGACAAUUAGGAGGUUUUUAAAAAAAUAAAUACGACAAAUAUAUGGAUUUCUGAAGUAUAAAUUGACAUACAAAUCUAUAUAUUUUCAUAAUAUUUCUCAUUAAAGCAUCUUUAAAGAAGCAUUCUGGAACAUGAAGUUGAGAGCUCAAAUUAGAUGAAAGGCAUGAGGUUUUAUAGAAUUGAGUAAUUCACAUACCAGAUAUCUACAUAAAAGUAAAUACAAAAUUGCAAACAUAUUUGUUUUAUCCUCCAAAUUAUCAACUUCAUAAAAAUUACUUACUAAAACAGCAAGAACUAAAACUACAUCCUCUUACUAAUACAUAAACCUAUGAUACGCUUUUUUUUCUAUGAUAAGCAAACUUACAGAUGCUUACAAUGCUGAAACAAGUUAGUGAACUGGGCUAAAAUAUCCCUACACCCCAUUUCCUCAAAAUGGCAGCUCCAAAGGAAAAAAAUAUUAAUUCCCUUUUUCACCUGAACAGCUUGAAUAAAAUUUGUAUUAUGAAUUUAAAGAGAAGAAAUAAUCUUAUACCUAAGCAAGCUUGAUGGAACUUA
rnacentral:lncRNA from 1 species